rnacentral:rRNA from 1 species
GCCCUACGGGAGGCAGCAGUGAGGAAUAUUGGUCAAUGGGCGGUAGCCUGAACCAGCCAAGUAGCGGGAAGGAGGAAGGUUCUAUGGAUUGUAAACUUCUUUUAUAAAGGAAUAAAGUGAGGCACGUGUGCCUUUUUGUAUGUACUUUAUGAAUAAGGAUCGGCUAACUCCGUGCCAGCAGCCGCGGUAAUACGGAGGAUCCGAGCGUUAUCCGGAUUUAUUGGGUUUAAAGGGAGCGUAGAU